rnacentral:rRNA from 1 species
GACGAACGCUGGCGGCGUGCCUAAUACAUGCAAGUAGAACGCUGAAGGAGGAGCUUGCUCUUCUGGAUGAGUUGCGAACGGGUGAGUAACGCGUAGGUAACCUGCCUUGUAGCGGGGGAUAACUAUUGGAAACGAUAGCUAAUACCGCAUAACAGUAGAUGUUGCAUGACAUUUACUUAAAAGGUGCAAUUGCAUCACUACCAGAUGGUCCUGCGUUGUAUUAGCUAGUUGGUGGGGUAACGGCUCACCAAGGCGACGAUACAUAGACGACCUGAUAGGGUGAUCGGCCAAAAUGGGACUGAGAAACGGCCCAGACUCAUACGGGAGGCAGCAGUAGGGAAUCUUCGGAAAUGGACGGAAGACUGACCGAGCAAAGCCGCGUGAGUGAAGAAGGUUUUCGGAUCGUAAAGCUCUGUUGUAAGAGAAGAACGAGUGUGAGAGUGGAAAGUUCACACUGUGACGGUAUCUUACCAGAAAGGGACGGCUAACUACGUG